GAACUUUACUAGCAUUUAUUAUAUUUUAUGCUUAUAGAUAUAAUAUUUAUAACGUAUUUUUUAUCGACACGUAUAUACACAUUACCGCCUACGCACUAUAUUCGUCAUAAAAAAGUCUAGAACAAGAUGAUACGUUUUUUUAUUUGUUGCAAUUCAUGGACCAUAUUCUGAAAUAUCAUAUCAUUUUAUAUUUAAAAAAUAAUAACAUGUACAUCGGAUUUAAGUUAAAAAUAAUGUUAAAAAACAAAAAAAAAUCAUAGAAUUACUGAGGCGUUAAGUGUAACGUGUCCAUAAAAAUAAUAACAACUUCAUAUUUAGUAAGUAAAAAAGAACAAUAAUUUUUAUUACUGUUGUGAAUGGACAUAGUAGUUGUGGAUUGUGGUAGAAUUGCAAAACUAGGACGACGUUUGUUUCAGAGGACCAUGUUCGAUUGUUCCUGCACACAAUAUAAUUAAAAAUCGUCUUCUUUAGACAAAAAAGUACAUGAUAAUAAAAUAACGAAAAAAUUGACACAGUGACAAUGGACAGACUUGACCAAUGUUUCAAUAACAUAUAGCCACUAAAUACUUGAUUCAAAGAUGUCAUCACUCAUCAGCCAAACAAAAAUGAAAUGUAAUUAGACAAAAAUACCGUUUUGUUCAAUUGAAAGUCACAUAUUAUGCAUUCACGGAACUCCAGAUUACACUUGUGAAAAAAGUCACUGAAGAGGAGUAAAUUCAUCGAUAGAAUAAUUUAUAAUGUUUUUGUAUACAUUGACCGCAUUAUACAUUUCAUUUUAUUCAAAUUGCAUAUUUUACACGUAUAUUCUUACAUGGUAAAAACAAAAAAAAAAAAAAUUGUUUUUAAUAUAUAUUGUUAACUUUUAGAUCAAGUACGUUUAACGGCCAUAUAAUAUAAUAUAACCGAGACGUUCUCGAAUUUAAAAUAUAGUGCACAAAAUUGGUUCCCAUUAUGCACUUCAAUAAAUAAUCGCACAUCUUGGCCGUCAAUCACGACACCUCAAGCAAAUAUCACGCGCAAAUUUAACGAUUUUGUUAUUUAUUGCCAGUAAUACGACGAAAUUUGCGUUUAAAAUUGCCAAGGGGACGUAAGUAUAACGCUUACACCUACAUAUCAUAUAUAGUCGUCCGAUAGAGUUGUCGACGAGGUAAUUGGAAACGUCCCGUCGGUCGACGUAUCAUAGUACUUGAUCUCGUCUUGCGGCAGCAGUUUACAGUGCUACAGAAAGCAGUAAAACAUACUAUAUACGAUAUCGUUUAUUAAUAUAACUUGUUUAUAUGAGUGGAUUCUGAAGUAAGACCAAGCGCCUUAUAAUUCAC